UAAGGCUUACAACGGCUACCUGAAGUAAGUUGACAUAAAAACGGAGCA
rfam:alpha proteobacterium HTCC2255 scf_1100007007381 genomic scaffold, whole genome shotgun sequence.